rnacentral:rRNA from 1 species
UGACCUCNAAUCAGGUAGGACUACCCGCUGAACUA